rnacentral:lncRNA from 1 species
GAAGCUUCUCAAACUGCUCCUCUGUGUAACGAACCGUCCUCUUCGUCGACAAAAUAAGCUCUGGCGAGACCAAAGCCACACGAUAUACAAUAUUCUUCACGAUCUCAACCACCGAAAUCCUCCACCGUGAUCAAAAUCUUCCUGAUCUGAUACAACAAAUCCUCGCAGGUGAAGAUGAAAGAUGGUUAAGAGAUGAUAGAUGAAAGAUGGUUAAGAGAUUUCAAUUACUUGUACGGGACAAGGCGAGUCACA